GGGUUGUGAGGUUAAGCGACUAAGCGUACACGGUGGAUGCCCUGGCAGUCAGAGGCGAUGAAGGGCGUGCUAAUCUGCGAUAAGCGCCGGUAAGGUGAUAUGAACCGUUAUAACCGACGAUACCCGAAUGGGGAAACCCAGUGUGACUCGUCACACUAUCAUUAACUGAAUCCAUAGGUUAAUGAGGCGAACCGGGGGAACUGAAACAUCUAAGUACCCCGAGGAAAAGAAAUCAACCGAGAUUCCCCCAGUAGCGGCGAGCGAACGGGGAGGAGCCCAGAGCCUGAAUCAGCAUGUGUGUUAGUGGAAGCGUCUGGAAAGGCGCGCGAUACAGGGUGACAGCCCCGUACACAAAAGCGCAUGUGCUGUGAGCUCGAUGAGUAGGGCGGGACACGUGGUAUCCUGUCUGAAUAUGGGGGGACCAUCCUCCAAGGCUAAAUACUCCUGACUGACCGAUAGUGAACCAGUACCGUGAGGGAAAGGCGAAAAGAACCCCGGCGAGGGGAGUGAAAAAGAACCUGAAACCGUGUACGUACAAGCAGUGGGAGCACAGGUUUACCUGUGUGACUGCGUACCUUUUGUAUAAUGGGUCAGCGACUUAUAUUCUGUAGCAAGGUUAACCGAAUAGGGGAGCCGCAGGGAAACCGAGUCUUAAUUGGGCGUUAAGUUGCAGGGUAUAGA
rnacentral:rRNA from 1 species